rnacentral:rRNA from 1 species
GACGGAGGAUGCAAGUGUUAUCCGGAAUCACUGGGCGUAAAGCGUCUGUAGGUGGUCAAAUAAGUCAACUGUUAAAUCUUGAGGCUUAACUUCAAAAAUGCCGUGGAAACUUUCAAACUAGAGUAUGGUAGGGGUAGAGGGAAUUUCCAGUGGAGCGGUGAAAUGCGUAGAUAUUGGAAAGACCACCGAUGGCGAAGGCACUCUACUGGGCCAUUACUGACACUGAGAGACGAAAGCUAGGGGAGCAAAUGGG